rnacentral:rRNA from 1 species
GCAUAUCAAUAAGCGGAGGAAAAGAAACCAACAGGGAUUGCCCUAGUAACGGCGAGUGAAGCGGCAACAGCUCAAAUUUGAAAGCUAGCCUUCGGGUUCGCAUUGUAAUUUGUAGAGGAUGCUUUGGGUAAAACGCCAGUCUAAGUUCCUUGGAACAGGACGUCAUAGAGGGUGAGAAUCCCGUAUGUGACUGGAAAUGUUAACCUAUGUAAAGCUCCUUCGACGAGUCGAGUUGUUUGGGAAUGCAGCUCUAAAUGGGAGGUAAAUUUCUUCUAAAGCUAAAUAUUGGCGAGAGACCGAUAGCGCACAAGUAGAGUGAUCGAAAGAUGAAAAGCACUUUGGAAAGAGAGUUAAAAAGCACGUGAAAUUGUUGAAAGGGAAGCGCUUGCAAUCAGACUUGUUUAAACUGUUCGGCCGGUCUUCUGACCGGUUUACUCAGUUUGGACAGGCCAGCAUCAGUUUCGGCGGCCGGAUAAAGGCUCUGGGAAUGUGGCCUCCACUUCGGUGGAGGUGUUAUAGCCCAGUGUGUA